rnacentral:rRNA from 1 species
AUUGAACGCUGGCGGCAUGCCUUACACAUGCAAGUCGAACGGUAACGCGGGGCAACCUGGCGACGAGUGGCGAACGGGUGAGUAAUGCAUCGGAACGUGCACAGUAGUGGGGGAUAGCCCGGCGAAAGCCGGAUUAAUACCGCACACGACCUACGGGUGAAAGCGGGGGACCGUAAGGCCUCGCGCUAUUGGAGCGGCCGAUGUCAGAUUAGGUUGUUGGUGGGGUAAAAGCCUACCAAGCCGACGAUCUGUAGCUGGUCUGAGAGGACGACCAGGCACACUGGGACAGAGAAACGGCCCAGACUCCUACGGGAGGCAGCAGUGGGGAAUUUUGGACAAUGGGGGCAACCCUGAUCCAGCCAUGCCGCGUGCGGGAAGAAGGCCUUCGGGUUGUAAACCGCUUUUGUCAGGGAAGAAACGCUCUGGGCUAAUACCCCGGGGUAAUGACGGUACCUGAAGAAUAAGCACCGGCUAACUACGUGCCAGCCGCCGCGGUAACAC